GCUAUCAUUACUUAGUCACAAGUAAUUUAGUGUCAAACUUAUGCUCUGGGAUUCUUCUAUUUUGUGCCAUUCCUGAAGUAAUAUCUUAGACAAAUUUGAAAAUAAAUAAUUCUGGCUCAUUUGAGUGCAUAACUGAAUUGGAUUUUUGGAACUUUCUGCUCUUUUUGGUUGCAUGUUGCAAAGUUGGAAUUUAUAGGCAUUGUCUAAGAUUUGUU
rnacentral:misc_RNA from 1 species